GCUUACGGCCACACCGCCUGGUUCACGCCCGAUCUCGUUUGAUCUUGGAAGCUAAGAUAGGUUGGGCCUGGUUAGUACUUGGAUGGGGAGACCGCCUAGGAAUACCAGGUGCUGUAAGGC
rnacentral:rRNA from 1 species